UACAGAGGUCUCAAGCGUUGUUCGGAUUCAUUGGGCGUAAAGGGUGCGUAGGUGGCGUGGUAAGUCAGGUGUGAAAUCUCGGGGCUCAACCCCGAAACUGCACUUGAUACUGCCUUGCUCGAGUACUGGAGAGGAGAUUGGAAUUUACGGUGUAGCAGUGAAAUGCGUAGAUAUCGUAAGGAAGACCAGUGGCGAAGGCGAAUCUCUGGACAGUUACUGACACUGAGGCACGAAGGCCAGGGGAGCAAACGGG
rnacentral:rRNA from 1 species